rnacentral:rRNA from 1 species
CGGCGUGGAUUAGGCAUGCAAGUCGCGCGAUAAAUGUAGCAAUACAUGGAAAGCGGCGAAAGGGACAGUAACGUGUGGGAACCUACCUCGGGGUCUGGGAUAGCGGCGGGAAACUGCCGGUAAUACCAGAUUAUGUCUCCGGACCAAAGGUGUGAUUCCGCCCUAAGAUGGGCCCACAUGCUAUUAGUUAGUUGGCGGGGUAAUGGCCCACCAAGACUAAGAUGGCUAGCGGGUGUGAGAGCACGACCCGCGUCACUGGGACUGAGACACUGCCCAGACACCUACGGGUGGCUGCAGUCGAGAAUCUUCGGCAAUGGGCGCAAGCCUGACCGAGCGACGCCGCGUGCGGGAUGAAGGCCCUCGGGUUGUAAACCGCUGUCGAGGGGGAUGAAAUUCCGGUGGGUACUCCCAUCGGAUUGACAGAUCCCUGGAGGAAGGGUGGGCUAAGUUCGUGCCAGCAGCCGCGGUAAGACGAACCACCCGAACGUUAUUCGGAAUCACUGGGCUUAAAGCGUGCGUAGGCGGCCUUGAAAGUUAGGUGUGAAAUCCCACAGCUCAACUGUGGAACUGCGCUUAAAACUACAAGGCUAGAGGGAUAUAGAGGUGAGCAGAACAGAUGGUGGAGCGGUGAAAUGCGUUGAUAUCAUCUGGAAUACCGGAGGCGAAGCGGCUCACUGGGUAUCUUCUGACGCUGAG